GGCGGUGUAGCUCAGCUGGCUAGAGCGUUCGGUUCAGACCCGAGAGGUCGGGGGUUCGAUCCCCUUCGCCGCUA
rnacentral:tRNA from 1 species